UCUUCUUCUUCUCUACGAGACAAAUGAGAGAAAGAAAAACCCUAGAAUUUGGCCUAGGUUUUGUUCGUCCAUGUUAUAAUCGGCGAUGUGUAAUGUUUCUCCGAUUUCGAGUUUUCAGGUGGAGGUUGCAAGUACACCGGUCAAUCCGUGUGAUAUGGACAAUGGACAGAGAGCGGUGCCAAUACGCGUUUUAACUGUGGGGAAGAAGAGGUCUCGUGGCGUUCAGCUUCUCGUUGAUGAGUAUAUUGAAAAGCUCAAGAACUACUGUCAUAUUGAAGAUGUUCUACUGCGCUCAAAUCCUAGGAAUGCGCGGGAUCCGAGAGCUCAGGUUGAUGAUGAAGACAUGGCUGUCGUGAAUCUUCUCAAAUCUGAUGAUUGGGUUGUGAUGUUGGAUGAGAAUGGGAAAGAGAUGUCCUCCGAGCAGAUGGCUGACUUGGUGGCAGAUGCAGGCACUACAGGUGCUUCAAGAUUAUCAUUUUGCAUUGGUGGGCCUUAUGGCCAUGGACAACAACUGCGACAACGAGCUAACUUAUCGAUCAAGCUGUCCUCCAUGGUCUUAAAUCAUCAAAUUGCACUGCUGGUGCUUAUGGAACAACUUUACAGGUCAUGGACUAUUCUAAAAGGUCAGAAGUACCAUCAUUAGCGGCAGCAGCUCAUAUGUCAGCUUGGAAAUUUUGUUGCUUAUUUUGUCCAAAGCAUUUCCCUCCUGAUCGUCGGUGUACUAAUAUAAAUUUGUCAAUUACUCGUAAGUAGUACUUGUUUUAUAUCAUAUUUGCUCGAGGAUUCGUGAUGAAUGGACUCGAGGUGGAGAGUAAAUUUUCCCGUCGUCAUUACACCUGAUUUCUUCUAUUUUCUUUUGGGAAGGAGACAGGAGACUUGUUUAUGUUAGUUUAUUAUGAUGUUGUAAUGAACAUUACGAGAAUUUUUGAGAUAUUCAUAUAUUGGGAAACAUAGUAAGAUGUCAAGAUGUUCGUUUAUUUGGCUUGUGCAUAUUGAGCACUUAAUCAAUAUAAAGUUUGUACUA